CGCGUAGGUGGCUGGGUAAGUCCAUGGUGAAAUCCCUCGGCUCAACCGAGGAACGGCCGUGGAUACUGCCUGGCUUGAGGUCGGGAGGGGAAAGUGGAACUCUCGGUGUAGCGGUGAAAUGCGUAGAUAUCGAGAGGAACGCCGGUGGCGAAAGCGACUUUCUGGACCGUACCUGACACUGAGGCGCGAAAGCUAGGGGAGGCAAAACA
rnacentral:rRNA from 1 species